CGUGUAGGCGGUCGGGUAAGUCAGAUGUGAAAGCCUUCUGCUUAACAGAAGAAGUGCAUUUGAAACUGCUCGGCUAGAGUACGGGAGAGGAGAGUGGAAUUCCCGGUGUAGAGGUGAAAUUCGUAGAUAUCGGGAGGAACACCAGUGGCGAAGGCGGCUCUCUGGUCCGAUACUGACGCUGAGACGCGAAAGCGUGGGGAGCAAACAGGAUUAGAUACCCUGGUAGUCCACGCCGUAAACGAUGGGCACUAGGUGUAGGAGGUAUUGACCCCUUCUGUGCCGAAGCUAACGCAUUAAGUGCCCCGCCUGGGGAGUACGGCCGCAAGGCUAAA
rnacentral:rRNA from 1 species